rnacentral:rRNA from 1 species
UACGGGGGGGGCAAGCGUUGUUCGGAAUUACUGGGCGUAAAGAGCUCGUAGGCGGCUUGUCACGUCGAUUGUGAAAGCCCGAGGCUUAACCUCGGGUCUGCAGUCGAUACGGGCUAGCUAGAGUGUGGUAGGGGAGAUCGGAAUUCCUGGUGUAGCGGUGAAAUGCGCAGAUAUCAGGAGGAACACCGGUGGCGAAGGCGGCAUCCUGGACCGGCAUUGACGCUGAGGCGCGAAAGCCAGGGGAGCAAACGGG